UACGGAGGGUGCAAGCGUUAUCCGGAUUUACUGGGUUUAAAGGGUGCGUAGGCGGGCUUUUAAGUCAGCGGUGAAAUCUCCGAGCUCAACUCGGAAAUUGCCGUUGAUACUAUUAGUCUUGAAUUAAGUUGAGGUGGGCGGAAUAAGUCAUGUAGCGGUGAAAUGCUUAGAUAUGACUUAGAACACCGAUUGCGAAGGCAGCUCGCUAAACUUAUAUUGACGCUGAGGCACGAAAGCGUGGGGAUCAAACAGG
rnacentral:rRNA from 1 species